rnacentral:rRNA from 1 species
UCGGGUUGUAAAGCACUUUUGUCCGGAAAGAAAACCUUUGGGCUAAUACCCUGAGGGGAUGACGGUACCGGAAGAAUAAGCACCGGCUAACUACGUGCCAGCAGCCGCGGUAAUACGUAGGGUGCGAGCGUUAAUCGGAAUUACUGGGCGUAAAGCGUGCGCAGGCGGUUCGUUAAGACAGAUGUGAAAUCCCCGGGCUUAACCUGGGAAACUGCAUUGUGACUGGCGAGCUAGAGUAUGGCAGAGGGGGGGUAGAAAUUCCACGUGUAGCAGUGAAAUGCGUAGAGAUGUGGAGGAAUACCGAUGGCGAAGGCAGCCCCCUGGGCCAAUACCGACGCUCAUGCACGAAAGCGUGGGGAGCAAACAGGAUUAGAUACCCUGGUAGUCCACGCCCUAAACGAUGUCAACUAGUUGUUGGGGAUUCAUUUCCUUAGUAACGUAGCUAACGCGUGAAGUUGACCGCCUGGGGAGUACGGUCGCAAGAUUAAAACUCAAAGGAAUUGACGGGGACCCGCACAAGCGGUGGAUGAUGUGGAUUAAUUCGAUGCAACGCGAAAAACCUUACCUACCCCUGACAUGGUCGGAACCCUGCUG